rnacentral:rRNA from 1 species
CCUACGGGAGGCAGCAGUGGGGAAUAUUGGACAAUGGGCGCAAGCCUGAUCCAGCAAUGCCGCGUGAGUGAUGAAGGCCUUAGGGUCGUAAAGCUCUUUUACCAGGGAUGAUAAUGACAGUACCUGGAGAAUAAGCUCCGGCUAACUCCGUGCCAGCAGCCGCGGUAAUACGGAGGGAGCUAGCGUUGUUCGGAAUUACUGGGCGUAAAGCGUACGUAGGCGGUUAUUCAAGUCAGAGGUGAAAGCCCGGGGCUCAACCCCGGAACGGCCUUUGAAACUAGGUAGCUAGAAUCUUGGAGAGGUCAGUGGAAUUCCGAGUGUAGAGGUGAAAUUCGUAGAUAUUCGGAAGAACACCAGUGGCGAAGGCGACUGACUGGACAAGUAUUGACGCUGAGGUACGAAAGCGUGGGGAGCAAACAGGAUUAGAUACCCUGGUAGUCCACGCCGUAAACGAUGAUAACUAGCUGUUCGGGCACUUGGUGCUUGAGUGGCGCAGCUAACGCAUUAAGUUAUCCGCCUGGGGAGUACGGUCGCAAGAUUAAAACUCAAAUGAAUUGACGG